CCUAUACUGCAGCUUUGCAGUGGCAUUAGGAGAGCGCUGUGUAGGAUAGGCGGGAGGCUGUGAAGCGUGGGCGCUAGCUCGCGUGGAGCCAUCCUUGAAAUACCGCCCUGCGCGCUUCUGAUGUCUCACCGCGUCCGGUCAGCCCGGACCGGGACCCUGCAUGGCGGGCAGUUUGACUGGGGCGGUCGCCUCCCAAAGUGUAACGGAGGCGCGCGAUGGUGGGCUCAGGCCGGUCGGACAUCGGCUGCUGAGUGCAAUGGCAUAAGCCCGCCUGACUGCGAGAGCGACAGUUCGAGCAGAGACGAAAGUCGGCCAUAGUGAUCCGGUGGUCCCGCGUGGAAGGGCCAUCGCUCAACGGAUAAAAGGUA
rnacentral:rRNA from 1 species